UGAGCAAUCUGCCCUUCUCUUCGGAAUAAGCGUUGGAAACGACGUCUAAUGCCGAAUACGACCUCCUUUCACAUGAUCGGAGGUGGAAAGCUCCGGCGGAGAAGGAUGAGCUCGCGGCCUAUCAGCUAGUUGGUGUGGGUAACGCCCACCAAGGCAACGACGGGUAGCUGGU
rnacentral:rRNA from 1 species